ensembl:lncRNA
CUCUGUAACAGGAUAUGAUGUGCUUCUGAAGAGCUGGUUUCCUGUUCCUACAACAUCAUGUGGUUGUGAAGCACCUGUUUGGAAAUGUGUGCAAUGUUUGGGUCGAAUGUAAACAGGGAUUCGUUUUACCAAGAGGAGAGGCAAGACUUGACAGAAAACAACAGAUUCUCAUCUUCUCCAAUAGAUAAUUAAGAUAUUUAAGUGAUCAGGAUUAUGUUUUCUUCAGAGUUAGGGUUUUUUUUUCCUUUCAGAAAUGUCAGUCUACAUCAUCCGCUCUCAACUAAAGUUAUUACAGAAGGAUUGUUUGUAUAACUUUUACUAUUGCCCAAACUGUAGCUGCUGUGGGAGUGGGCCGUGUUCAUACAGACGUCUGCUGAGCUGGAGAUCGUGUGUGAGAUGAAGCAGAGGUGCUGCUGUGUGGCGCUGGAUUGUGACGCCGAGCUGAAGAGCGCCUCAGAGGUGCACUACACACCUCCUAAUGGACGGCUCGUCUCGCUGGCCUCCGAACGCUUCCGGUGACUGUCUGAGAUCAGAGUUGUGCUCUGGUGAAGAGUUCACUGCAGACCAGUGUCUGAAGCUCAGAUCCUAACAUGGACAACAAUAAUCUGAGAUUUUUGAUUACUUUAAUCCAGCUAAACAAGUCAAAUUAAGACAUGUGGAGGAUUCCUAUUUUAGGUACUAUUUCACACUAUUAUAAGGUUAAGGUAAAUAACUAGUUUAAUGAUGUCCAUGUAAGCGUAUUCCCUGACACUGUUCUUCACAUUACAUACUGUAACGCUGCUUGCUGUAAAGCAAUGUAAACUGAGUUUGUGCACACAUCUCCAUGUCACUGUGAUCAGAUGCUUUCUCACUGAGGUGCAGUCAUCUUUAUUACUAUAGCGCUUUAUAUGAGACGGAUCGGGUCGAAGCAG